CCUGCCCACUAAAUAAUUUUUAAAUGGCCGCAGUAUCCUAACUGUGCAAAGGUAGCAUAAUCAUUAGUCUUUUAAUUGAAGGCUGGUAUGAACGGUUGGACGAAKAUAAGCUGUUUCAUAUAAAAUUAUUUUAGAAUUUUAUAUUUUAGUUAAAAAGCUAAAAUUUUAUUAAAAGACGAGAAGACCCUAUAAAUCUUUAUAUUUAUAAUUAUUCAAGUUUUUUGGAAUAAUUUUAUUUUUAUAAUUGUAAAUAUUUUGUUGGGGUGAUGUUAAAAUUUAAUGAACUUUUAAUUAUUUAUUAAAUCAUUAAUUUAUGAAUAAUUGAUCCAUUAUUAGUGAUUAUAAGAUUAAGUUACUUUAGGGAUAACAGCGUAAUUUUUUUUGAGAGUUCAUAUCGACAAAAAAGUUUGCGACCUCGAUGUUGGAUUAAGAUAGAUAUUUAGGUGUAGCCGCUUAAACAUAAAUCUGUUCGACUUUUAAA
rnacentral:rRNA from 1 species